rnacentral:rRNA from 1 species
UACGAAGGGGGCUAGCGUUGCUCGGAAUUACUGGGCGUAAAGGGCGCGUAGGCGGACGUUUAAGUCGGGGGUGAAAGCCCGGGGCUCAACCUCGGAAUUGCCUUCGAUACUGGACGUCUUGAGUACGGGAGAGGUGAGUGGAACUCCGAGUGUAGAGGUGAAAUUCGUAGAUAUUCGGAAGAACACCAGUGGCGAAGGCGGCUCACUGGCCCGGUACUGACGCUGAGAUACGAAAGCGUGGGGAGCAAACAGG